rnacentral:rRNA from 1 species
UACGAAGGGGGCUAGCGUUGCUCGGAAUCACUGGGCGUAAAGCGCACGUAGGCGGAUUGUUAAGUCAGGGGUGAAAUCCUGGAGCUCAACUCCAGAACUGCCUUUGAUACUGGCGAUCUCGAGUCCGGGAGAGGUGAGUGGAACUGCGAGUGUAGAGGUGAAAUUCGUAGAUAUUCGCAAGAACACCAGUGGCGAAGGCGGCUCACUGGCCCGGUACUGACGCUGAGGUGCGAAAGCGUGGGGAGCAAACAGGAUUAGAAACCC